rnacentral:rRNA from 1 species
AGCGAACGCUGGCGGCAGGCUUAACACAUGCAAGUCGAGCGGGCAUAGCAAUAUGUCAGCGGCAGACGGGUGAGUAACGCGUGGGAACGUACCUUUUGGUUCGGAAAAACACAGGGAAACUUGUGCUAAUACCGGAUAAGCCCUUACGGGGAAGGAUUUAUCGCCGAAAGAUCGGCCCGCGUCUGAUUAGCUAGUUGGUGAGGUAAUGGCUCACCAAAGCGACGAACAGUAGCUGGUCUGAGAGGAUGAUCAGCCACAUUGGGACUGAGACACGGCCCAAACUCCUACGGGAGGCAGCAGUGGGGAAUAUUGGACAAUGGGCGCAAGCCUGAUCCAGCCAUGCCGCGUGAGUGAUGAAGGCCCUAGGGUUGUAAAGCUCUUUUGUGCGGGAAGAUAAUGACGGUACCGCAAGAAUAAGCCCCGGCUAACUUCGUGCCAGCCGCCGCGGUAA